UACGAAGGGUGCAAGCGUUACUCGGAAUUACUGGGCGUAAAGGGUGCGUAGGUGGUCGUUUAAGUCCGUUGUGAAAUCCCUGGGCUCAACCUGGGAAUGGCAGUGGAUACUGGACGGCUAGAAUGCGGUAGAGGGUAGUGGAAUUCCCGGUGUAGCAGUGAAAUGCGUAGAGAUCGGAAGGAACACCUGUGGCGAAAGCGGCUCACUGGACCAUUACUGACGCUGAUGCACGAAAGCUAGGGGAGCAAACAGG
rnacentral:rRNA from 1 species